ensembl:lncRNA
GAUUUUACUUACCCGUGUCAACGACAAAACAACAUAUAUCACAUGCCACACAUCAUUCUAAGUACUUUGUCUGAAAAACCCCAUUAAUAUUGACAAUAACUCUAUGAGGUAGAGUUAUUGACACAUUUUAAAGGUGAGGAAAUUGAGGCACAGAGAGGUGAAGAAACUUGCCUGAGUUUGUGUACUAAGACAUGAAACCAGUUUUCAGACAUAGACCUUCUGCUACUAGAAUCAUCCUCUUAACCACUAUAAUUUAUAGCUUUUUAAACAUCUCGUUAUGCCAUGGCACCAAAAGAAGUGCGUGGUGAAUAUUUGUUGAAUGAAUUGAUGAAGCAGCAACCUAGUAUUGUGUGGAACACAUUCAGGAAUAGGCUAAGACAGAGCGAUUUUUCUGGAAUGUGCAAACUAGAAAGUGCCUUAGACUUUGGCCAGUUUAAUCCUCUUUGCCUGCAGACUGAUCCACCGUUGCUCAGAGUCAAGGUUGACGCAGAGGCUGCAUUCUGGCUCCCCGGGCAGGAAUGGGGUACGGAUUCAUGUCUCCCAGCGUCACGCCUGCCUUACUUCAUCGAACAACAAGGUGGGUCGUCCAGAAUCCCGCACAGAAAAAGUGAGAGCAUCGUUCUUUGAGACUGCAAAAUGGUAUGAUGGCCAUCUUAUGAAGAGUUUCUCUAUAGGCCUCUGGGGUGGGCAGGGCAAGGGGCUAUCAUCCUCUUUUAUAGACAAGGAACUAAGGCUCUGGUAAUAAUAACAGCUGGUGUUUCCUGAGCACUUCCUGUGAGUCUGGUCCCGGGCUAAACACUCCUCAUGGCGCUGAUCUCAUUGAACUAAGACAGCCUCACACUGCUAGUUUAAACAUCAGUAAAAUGAGGCCCAGAGCGGAGAAGCCAUUUUCCCCAGACACCCGGAUUAGAGAGGGGUAAAGCCACGUUUUAAACCCAAAACUUCUGGAUCCCAGGUUCACACUCUUAAAGACCCUGGGCCAUAUCCAAGGUCUAAGAGCUUUCUAACUCACUUGAAUGCCAUGACCUCAGCUAGGUUGGAAUAUCUGGAAUAAGGAGAUUCCCUUGGCAAACAUAAAACAUUUAAAAAUAUAGGUCCAUCCAUAACCAGAGAGAAUGAAACAGCAGAGUCUGGGAUCCUUUCCUGUAUGCCGGGCAGGGAAGAGCCACUGAUACUAUCGACUUGGACAGUAGGUAGGUGUUCUUAUCUCCACCUAAAAGAUAAAGAAACUGAGAUUCAGAGAGGUAACUGGGGUGCCCCAGGUCACGCAACUGAUAAGGCCAGCUGAGCUUUGACCUCUAAUCUGUGUAGCUCCCAGAGCUCAGUCACCAUUAGACCCCCUCUGCUGUCUGUUUGCUGAGCCAGAGUCAGAACUGGAGCCUCAGACCAGGAGUCACAUUGUGAGCAAGCAGUAAGGGGCUAAAGGCAGGGCAGAUGUGGGAUAGAAUGCAGGCCGGCUCUGGGAGGCUGAUGUUAAUGCCUCUCAACCAGGGUCGCUGAUUUUUCACCUUGAAAGGGAAAUACAAACUAAGAGCUGGGGGAGCACACAGCUUCCUCUCGGGCGGGACAGGCCAGUAUAUGGGGUUCCUUCUUUGUCAGUGAGCUAUUGAACGGUUCACUUUUCUCUUGAAAUUUACAAGUGGAAAAAUUUACAUUUUCUUGGAAUGUGUUCCUCCUUACUGAUUUGAGUGAGCAGAUACAAACAUGUCCAUAUUUACAACAUGUUUGCGGGGGCCAUGUGGCAUCUCCAGUUCUGUUUGAUUUUGCUAAUUGCCAGAGUGCCCCCCUCUCCUAGAGAAUCAAUACUAAUAAUGAUGAAAGGCCUAAAAACGCAUAAGCAUUUUCUGUUUCCAGCUUCUAUUUUACGAAUAAAACAUUGAUGCUCUUUUUAAGUUGGCCA